CCAGAGGACUUUCCCCUGAAUCGAGCAGACAGGACGGACUCCAGUUUUUCCUUCACUCAAAACAGCGCGCUGUCAAAAUAAGGUCGCCAGAGCACAGGCCCCGGGAGAAGAGGAGCCCCGGAGCAGUGUCAAGUCUUUACAGUGAUGUGACCAUGGAAAGUGAUGUCUGCAGGACCCUGUUUCUCCUGUAUCCCAGAGUGCGUGCAAUACAACCGCCUCCAGGAGUGGUCGCCUACCCUGGUAACUAUACUUGCAUCACACAAUCCAACAGCUCUACCAUGAAUGUGGGACACCUACCUAAGAAG